CAACCAUGGCGAAUUCCAGUUCCAUUUCCCUUUAGUUAUCAAAUUUGUACUUCUGUUACUGCAUUCAAUAAAGAAGAAAUUUUCCCCAAAUUUGAUUAUUUUUUGAUUAGUUCAAUUUGUGCAAUUAAUUAGGUCAGGUUGUGACACAUUGAUUUCCUUGAUCCUUAUUAGUAUUCAAGAUUACGUUUCUACUGCGGAGGAACUUUUCAGCUUCAGCACAAGUGUCUCUGUAUCUAAUCUGCCCAACUGCUGCCACAACCGACAUCAUUGCAGGCUGCAUCAUCACAAGGAGAUAGAGCAUAUAAUCUGAGAGAAUCUUUGAUAUCUC
rnacentral:lncRNA from 1 species